AGGAUUAGAUACCCUGGUAGUCCACGCCGUAAACGGUGGGCACUAGGUGUGGGGACUUUUCAACGGUUUCCGCGCCGCAGCUAACGCAUUAAGUGCCCCGCCUGGGGAGUACGGUCGCAAGACUAAAACUCAAAGAAAUUGACGGGGGCCCGCACAAGCAGCGGAGCAUGUGGCUUAAUUCGAUGCAACGCGAAAAACCUUACCUAGAUUUGACAUGCUGGGAAAAGCCACAGAGAUGUGGUGUCCUUCGGGGCCCAGCACAGGUGGUGCAUGGCUGUCGUCAGCUCGUGUCGUGAGAUGUUGGGUUAAGUCCCGCAACGAGCGCAACCCUUGUUCUAUGUUGCCAGCACGUAAUGGUGGGGACUCGUAGAAGACUGCCGGGGUCAACUCGGAGGAAGGUGGGGACGACGUCAAGUCAUCAUGCCCCUUACGUCUAGGGCUGCACACAUGCUACAAUGGGCGGUACAGAGGGCUGCUAAACCGCGAGGUGGAGCCAAUCCCUAAAACCGCUCUCAGUUCAGAUUGCAGGCUGCAACUCGCCUGCAUGAAGUUGGAGUUGCUAGUAAUCCCGGAUCAGCACUGCCGGGGUGAAUACGUUCCCGGGCCUUGUACACACCGCCCGUCAAACCACGAAAGUUGGCAAC
rnacentral:rRNA from 1 species